AUCCAAGGCGAGCGUGCGGUGUGGUGAAUAAUAUAAGCACUAACACCUAGGGUGCAGAUUAUGAGCUCAACACAUCUCAACAACAACAAUUCAAUGAAUAAAUGAACUCACCUGACUUACCUGUGCCUCCACAGCACCAUGCAACAUGUAUGCAUCAUAUAUCAAUCAUAUAACUCAUGUGAAAUUCACCUUUUCCAAAUAAUUCUAUGCAUGGCAUUUUAAAAACGUUUUCUCAUAUAAAUGCAUUUUCUGGGAAAACAAUAGCAUAUAGGUAAUACGAAAACAAAACUGCCCACUCACUGAUAAGUCGACGGGUCGUAACCCCCGUGGCGUCCCUGGAUGCGGUCGUCCUCGGGAUACGUCUCACCUAUAUGCGAAACAACUAUAAAAUCAUUAAUUUUAAGCAUAUCACCAAUAAUUCGAAAUAACUUCUCAUACGAUGCUCAAUUUUGGUAUAUGAAUAUACCACAUCGACCUACUCGACGUCACGAGCGUCGAGAAAUUUUCAGAAAAAAUUUUGGAAGCCCCACGCGCCCCCACGCGCCACACGUGGCACGGGUCCACGCGCUGGCCACGCGCAGCACGUGCAGCGCACAUGUCGUCUUCUUCGCAGGGCCUCGCCGGACUGGUUCUCCGGUGGCCGGACUCCGGCCGAACUCCGGCCGAUUUUCAAACUCACUGUUCUCCUUCGUUUUUCACCCAUUUUCUUCGUAUUUUAUACCAAAUUAAAGCCCUAAGAGUGUACUAUCACGUUGGACUAGUUUUAGGGCCUAAAAACUACGAAAUCUCACCUUGCAAAAACCAAAGAUUUCGGCCAAACUUGAAACCUACGAUCCCGACGUCCAAAACUCUCCAACGAAUGUCCCCGAGCUUCCUUAGGACCUCCUAAAGCUCACCACAAGCUUGAAAUCUCCUGAAACACAACAUUUUACGUUCGCAUGAACAGUACCUCAAAAAUGGAGGUUCGGGAUCUACGUGAAAUCGAAGGUUUCACUUCCUAAAACUAGCACCAAUGAACUCAGGACGUCAAAACGAUGAAGAUACAUACCUUAUUUGCCCCGAUCCGUUGAGUUUCGAAGGGUUUUGGGUGAAGGUCCGUACGAUAUGGGUGUGUUUGGGUGUGAGGUCGGGAGAGAGAGAGAGAGAGAGAGACUGAGAGAGUGAUCGAGAGGGAGGAGAGAAAGGGACUGAUCUUGUGUGGUCAAACCAAUCCACACCAUCCAAAAUCUCUCUUAAGUCCCUAACCACAAAAAUAUAAAAUCAACUUCCAAAAUAUUUCUAACUUAAACAACUUCUUAAAAGUUUAGGGACCAAACAUUUUCAAAACGUAAUACACCCAUACCUUGAUACCUGACAAGGGCAUUUUUGUCCUUUCACAUUCCCGCCAAAAGUACCUCCGGGACGGGCUGUGACAAUCUCCCCUCCUUAUAGAAUUUCGUCCCCGAAAUUCCCAUAACCAAAUCAUAAUUCAAUACUCGUAGAAUAAUCUUGGGUACAUCUCUCUCAUCCGGUCUUCCAUCUCCCAAGUAGCUUCCUCCACAGAAUGAUUUCUCCACAACACCUUCACCAAACUCACCGUCUUGUUCCUUAGAACCUUGUCCUUCCAAUCCAAUAUUGUGAUUGGUUCCUCAUCAUACGUCAAAUCCGGAUUAAUCUCUAACGGUUGAGGAGGAAUCACAUGAGAAGGAUCAGAAAUAUAAUGCCGAAGCAUAGAGACAUGGAACACAUUAUGGACCUUAGAUAACUCCGGAGGCAGUUCCAACCGGUAGGCAACUUCACCAACUCUUUCAAUGAUCACAUAAGGUCCAAUAUAUCUCGGACUUAGCUUCCCUCUUUUCCCAAAUCGUACCACACCUCUCCAAGGCGACAAUUUCAAGAAUACCCAAUCACCCACAUCAUACACUCGAUCAGUAGUAUGCCGAUCCGCUAAACUCUUAUGUCGAUCCUGGGCUGCUUUCAGGUUUGACUUAAUUACCUGAACAUUUUGAGUCGUCUCAUCCACGAUCUCAGGGCCUUCUAAUACCCGUUCACCAACCUCAGACCAACAUAAUGGCGUUCGACACGCCCUACCAUAAAGUGCCUCGAAUGGGGACAUACCAAUGCUCGAGUGAAAACUGUUAUUAUAAGCAAACUCCAUUAAGUCCAGACGAUCAUGCCAAGAAUCACCAAAUUGUAAUACCGAAGAUCUCAACAUAUCUUCCAACGUCUGAAUGGUCCUCUCUGAUUGCCCAUCAGUUUGAGGAUGAUAAGCUGUGCUAUACAGUAAUUGAGUACCCAGAGCUUCCUGAAAAGCCACCCAAAAUUUAGAAGUAAAUCUCGGGUCUCGAUCGGAGAUAAUAUUUACUGGGACUCCAUGAUACUUGACAAUCUUCGAAAUAAACAACUUAGCCAAUUUAUUCAGAGGGUAUUUCUCCCUCACUGGAAUGAAAUGCGCCGACUUGGUGAGUCGAUCCACAAUCACCCAAAUACCAUCAAAUCCAUUUCGCGUACGAGGAAGUUUAUACACGAAAUCCAUGGUUAUAUUUUCCCAUUUCCACUGGGGAACAGGAAGGGGUUGCAUUCGCCCAAAGGGCUUCUUCCUUUCUGCUUUCACUUGCUGGCAAAUAAUACACCUGCUCACAUAUUCUGCAAUUUCUCUUUUCAUACCCGGCCAAUAAUAAAAUGGUCGAAUGGUAUGAUACAUUUUUGUUCCUCCCGGAUGCAUCGCAUAAGCUGAACAAUGUGCUUCAUCCAGAAUUUCCUUCUUCAAUUCCUCAUUAUUCGGAACAUACAUUCUGUCUUCUUGCAUGAGCAUACCAUCUGAUUCCCGAAUUCUGAGGUCUUUCUUUUUCCCUUCACUUCUUAACUGAACCAACUCCUGAAUUUCUUCAUCCACCAUUUGAGAUGCAAGUAUACGCUCCACCAAAACUGGCCUGACUUGAAAACUAGCAAGAAAUGCUCCACCUUGAUUCUCCCACUCCAAUCUUACUCCAGUUGCCCUCAGUUCAGCAAGAAGAGGAACACGACUAGCAUAUAGGGCAUUAAGUCUACCUUGUGGUUUCCUACUCAGUGCAUCCGCUACUACAUUAGCACGACCUGGAUGGUAUUCAAUAGAACAAUCAUAAUCACUUAGCAAUUCCAUCCACCUUCGCUGACGAAGAUUAAGAUCAUGCUGGGUGAAUAAGUACUGAAGACUCUUAUGAUCAGUGAAGAUCUUACACUUCUCACCAUACAAAUAAUGUCUCCAAAUUUUCAAAGCAAAAACAAUUGCUGCCAAUUCAAGAUCGUGAGUAGGAUAGUUCCUUUCAUGAUUUUUCAACUGCCUAGAAGCAUAGGCAAUCACCUUAUUAUGCUGCAUCAAAACACAUCCCAAACCAUUUAAUGAAGCAUCACUAUAUAUCUCAAAAUUACCGCUAUCGUCGGGAAGUACCAACACCGGUGCAUGAGUGAGGCAAUACUUCAAUUGUUGAAAACUCCGCUCACAAUUCUCAUCCCCACUCAAAUUUAACAUCCUUCCUGGUCAACUUUGUCAACGGUAAAGCAAUCAUAGAGAAAUCCUGAACGAACCGUCGAUAAUAACCUGCUAAGCCAAGAAAGCUUCGUACCUCCGUGACGGUUCGAGGUUGCUCCCAAUUCUCCACUGCUGCAAUCUUUUGAGGAUCAACUUGAAUACCUUGAGCUGAUACCACAUGCCCCAAAAAUGCCACUUCAGUCAACCAAAACUGACAUUUACUGAACUUGGCAUACAACUGAUGCUCCCUUAAUUUCCUUAACACCAAAUUAAGGUGUCGGAUAUGAUCUGCUUGGGACUUAGAGUAUACCAGAAUAUCGUCAAUAAAAACAAUAACGAAUUUAUCAAGAUAUUUCUGGAAUACCUCAUUCAUUAAUCUCAUAAAAGCUGCAGGCGCAUUAGUCAACCCAAACGGCAUAACCGAAAAUUCAUAAUGUCCGUACCGAGUUCGGAAAGCCGUCUUAGGUACAUCAUCUUCUUUAAUCUUCAAUUGAUAAUAUCCAGAUCUCAAAUCAAUCUUAGAAAAUACACAUGCACCUUUCAGCUGAUCGAACAAAUCAUCAAUGCGAGGCAAUGGAUAACGGUUUUUAAUCGUUACCCGGUUCAAUUGUCUAUAAUCAAUACACAAUCGAAAAGUUCCAUCCUUCUUUCUCACAAAUAAUACUGGGGCACCCCAAGGUGAAGAACUAGGUUGAAUAAAACCUUUAUCAAGUAAUUCUUGCAACUGGAUUUUUAAUUCCCUCAACUCAGCAGGAGCCAUUCUAUAAGGAGUCAGAGAUAUAGGGUCCGUACCUGGAAGCAAAUCAAUAGAGAAUUCCACCUCCCUGUCUGGUGGUAAUCCCGGCAAAUCAUCAGGGAAUACAUCCGAAUAAUGUCUGACCACACCAACUUCUUCUAUACUAGUAGGAGCAACAUCAUUUAAUACCACAUGUGCCAAAUAUCCCUGACAACCCUUCGAUAAUAAUUUCCUCGCCCUUAUGGCAGAAAUAACUCCAUGUCUCACCCCAUUUCUCUCGCCCACAAAAGUAACCUCGGGUAAUCCAGGACGAUAAAAAGUAACUGAUUUACCAUAACAAUCAAUAUGGGCACGAUUAUGGUGUAACCAAUCGGCCCCUAAAAUCACAUCAAAAUCCACAAUAUCUAACGGAAUAAGAUCAGCGGACAUAAUCACGCCCUCAACCAUCACUGGACACCCCAGAUACACACUAUCCACAUAACAUUUAUCUCCUCUAGGCAUGGCAAACUCUAAAUCAAAUCCUAGAGGUGAAGGGUGAGGUUGGGUUAUUUGAGCAAACGUAUGAGAAAUCACAGAGUGCGUAGCACCACAAUCAAUCAAAACCUUAGCAAAAUGACCAAGAACAUUUAACGUACCCAUAAUCAAGUCUGGAUGGUUCUGAGCCUCCAGCAAGGAAAUAUGAUUAAUUCGCCCCUGAGCCUGCUGUCGUCCACCUCGGCCUCUAUUGCCCUGAUUACCUCGUCCCCGAGGAUUACGUCCCUGGCCUGGCUGACUAGGCUGCCUGGAUGAUCCUGCACCACCAGUAGCAACUUCCCCCUGACGGGGCUGGCCUCCCUGAUGCCACUGCGAUUCACCAGCUGGCAUAGAGGAAUAAGAUGAAUAACCUCCAAAAUCCUGAGAAUAUCCAGCCUGAGAGUAAGGCUCCUGGGAAUACUGAUAAGGUCCGGGAGCAUACGGAGCAGCAUCCCCCUGAUAGUGGUAAGCACCACCACGACUCGGCUGGCCAUAACCACCCGGUCCCAAAUUCUGCUGAACUGGUGCUGGAGGUGGUAUAGUGGUCUGCUGUGGUCUCUGUUGACCCUGGGGGCACUGAGAAGCCCGAUGUCCCAUCUGCCCACACGUAAAGCAGGCACCAGUACCUCUCCUACACUCACCAUGGUGACGGAAGUUACAACGGCGGCACCAUGGAGCGCCAGAUCCACCAGCAUCCCUCUGACCCUGAAAUCUGGGUCCACCAGAAAAUCUUCCACCACCUCUCCUCGGGCUAGUAAAACUAUAUCCCCCACUAGAAGAGCUCGAACUCGCUCCACUCUUCUUAAAACUCUGUGUCUGUCGAGGUCCCGGAAUAGAAAUACCCUUACCUUUGUCAUUCUUCUUCUGACCCUCAUUCUUGUCCUCGUCAUCCUCACUGUCAGGAAGAUUAUCAGAGUCCUCCAUCCUAACCAGAAUCUCGAAAUACUCAUGAUAAUCAGCGCAGGGGAGUGCAUUGGCAAAGGUACGCCACUUCUUCUUAGAUCCCAACUUGAAACGUCGAAGCAUCUCUCCCUGAUUACCAGCUGUAUCAGUGUCAUAACGAGACAAAUCAGUAAACUUUCUAUAAUAUUCAUGUGCCGACAUAUUUCUCUGUUUCAACCUGGUGAAUUCCUGCUUCUUACGGUCAAUAUACUCAGGAGGAACGAAUCUCUUCAUAAAAUGCUCCUUGAAUACUUUCCAGUCGGCUGCCGUCUCAGGUGACAUGUACCUAGCCUGAUUUAUCCACCAUGCUGCUGGUUCACGACCCAAAAACCAAGUGGUGGUCUCCACCCACCUAUUAGCAGGGAGAUUCCCCUGACUCUGCAUCACCUGGAAAGUUUUCUCAAUAUGAUCAAGCCAUUUCUCUGCCCCCUCAUGACUUUCAUUACCCAUAAACCGAUCUAACUUCAAGUUGUACAUGGUCUCCAGAGGUGUCCUCGGAGGAGGGGGAGGACGAAUCACAUUCUGUAAAGCCUGGGCCAUCGCUUCCCCUAACUGAGUAAUAUCCGGGAAAUUAGGUUCAGAAGUACGGCGGGACUCCCUACGCUCUCUACGAGGCGGCAUGAUUCUGACAGAAAACAUCAAAAGAUCGUUAAGACAUUAACAAAUUUACAGGACUGCAACCUAAGCUCUGAUACCAAACUGACACACCCUGAUCCGGAGGAUCCAGGUGUGCUGGCCGUCACGUGGGCGUGACGUAACCAUAAGCACGACACGGAAGCGUAAUAACAACAUAUAACAACAGAAAUUCAAACCGAACUCAACAUAACCACAUACGGACAUAACCGGACGAGUUUACAAGUAAACACAUAAGUUCAGAGCAUAGGUUAUCUGCAGUCAAGUAGGACUAAAAUAAGAAUACAUCACCCUCAGGUGAGUCCUACAUGUCCCAAAUCUGUCAGAAAGCCGGAAAGGACCUCGUGAGCCAACCACCGUUAAACUAGAACCUGGAGGGGCGCAAAACAAAAUGAGUGGGUCAGUAAAAACAAAUUAGUUUUUCCAAAACAUUUCAUUAAAAACAGUUAUAUCCCCUCGCCGUAAAAACCUGUAUACUUUCCCAAAAAAUUAUAUAACCAUAUAAAAUCUCAACAUUUAAAUCUCAAAUCUUUAACAUUUUUCAAGAAAACAUGCCAUGCCAUAAAUCAAAAUAUAAAUCAGGUGAAAUAAGGAAUCAAUCGGAGACCCUGCAGUUGGUCCUAUACGAUUAAUUCAAUAGCUCAAUAUCUCACUAAGCCGGAGUCACCACAGUGACCUAUACGGCCCUACUCUGCACAUCACUCGGAACUACGUAAGGUAGUCUAUACGAUGAAAGGUGUAAAAAUACGCUCUAGUGCUUCUCUCAUCAUAUCAUCAGCGCGCAUAACUAAGGUCACCCACUAGUCGGAAUCACGCCUAGUGAUCUGUACGACUAGCAUGUCGGAACCCUCACAUGGUCUGUACGACAUCCACCUACUUGGAUCCAAGGCGAGCGUGCGGUGUGGUGAAUAAUAUAAGCACUAACACCUAGGGUGCAGAUUAUGAGCUCAACACAUCUCAACAACAACAAUUCAAUGAAUAAAUGAACUCACCUGACUUACCUGUGCCUCCACAGCACCAUGCAACAUGUAUGCAUCAUAUAUCAAUCAUAUAACUCAUGUGAAAUUCACCUUUUCCAAAUAAUUCUAUGCAUGGCAUUUUAAAAACGUUUUCUCAUAUAAAUGCAUUUUCUGGGAAAACAAUAGCAUAUAGGUAAUACGAAAACAAAACUGCCCACUCACUGAUAAGUCGACGGGUCGUAACCCCCGUGGCGUCCCUGGAUGCGGUCGUCCUCGGGAUACGUCUCACCUAUAUGCGAAACAACUAUAAAAUCAUUAAUUUUAAGCAUAUCACCAAUAAUUCGAA
rnacentral:lncRNA from 1 species